CCUACGGGAGGCAGCAGUGAGGAAUAUUGGUCAAUGGGCGCUAGCCUGAACCAGCCAAGUCGCGUGAAGGAAGACUGCCCUAUGGGUUGUAAACAUCUUUUAUAUGGGAAUAAGGUGCAGUAUGUAUACUGCUUUGCAUGUACCUUAUGAACAAGGAUCGGCUAACUCCGUGCCAGCAGCCGCGGUAAUACGGAGGAUACGAGCGUUAUCCGGAUUUAUUGGGUUUAAAGGGAGCGUAGGCGGGUUGUUAAGUCAGAUGGGAAAGUUUGGGGCUCAACCGAAGAAUUGCAGUUGAUACUGGCAUCCUUGAGUGCAGUAGAGGUAGGCAGAAUUCGUGGUGUAGCGGUGAAAUGCGUAGAUAUCACGAAGAACUCCGAUGGCGAAGGCAGCCUGCUGGACUGUGACUGACGCUGAUGCGCGAAAGUGUGGGUAGCAAACAGGAUUAGAUACCCCAGUAGUC
rnacentral:rRNA from 1 species